UACAAAAAGAAGCUUAAAAAAACCAGCUUAUUUUGAGAAACACGGGUGAACGGUAAACUCAUUAAUGAAUUUUUCAACACUACCCUCAUUUCUCAUGCCUUCCUUUCUCACGUUAUCGGACUCUCGCAUGCCACUCUCACAGAACCCUUGUAGAACCAGAUCUGAAAAAGGGUGUCUUCUCCCACCGAUCUCUCUCGUUCUCGACGUCGUGUUCUCCUGGCUUGGCCUCCUUCCUCUAGUGCAUAUUGAAUAUGAACACCCUUGAUGAUGAUGUUGUGGAUUUGGAGGAUGGUCUAAGUAUAUGUGAUGUAGCGAGAGAUAUUGAAACAUAUUAUUUAUAAUAUGUCCAUAAAACUCCGUGUAUAAGUUCUUCCCAAACAAGUAAUAUUUGGUUGAUGUAAGUACUACAAAGGAAUGAUGUGCGAUGCUAUAAAAUGUUUAGGAUGAAAAAAGAUGUUUUUUAUAGAUUACCCAAUGACUUGCAAACUAAUAUUGGGUUGAAAGGUUUAAGGAGAAUGAAUGCAACUGAAAUAUUAGGAAUGUUCUUGUACAUGUUCGAGCAUGCUGUGAAAUGGAUUAGCGCAAAAGAGAUUUCAGCAUUCCAAUGAGACUGUUAGUAGAUGUUUGGUGCUAUGUUGGAUAUUGUAUGUAAGAUGGCAACAAAUAUUAUCCAAUGUAGCGGCCUACGCAUUAGACAGUGAGUUGCUACCACGACUUGUCCUUAAUUAGUCCCAAAAUCAGAAAGCUUGUUAGGCAGCUUCUUGGGCAGAGUUAGGCAGGGUUAGGCGGGCCUAGACGAGGAUCUAUGGAGAGCUAUGCAGACCGAUCGGCUCUUUCGAAUAAGACGAUGGCUUGUAUGCAUGGUGUCUUUUUUGGCAAAAAUUGUCGGUUGCUGUUUGAGUUUUUUAUUGAAUCCUUUUGUUUUAAGGGUCCACCAUCUUCUUCAUUCUAUGUCUUUUCGUUUCUUUUUUUUAAUUGUUAAAUUUUCAUUUUUAUUAUUUGUUUUCUCUUUUAAGACCCCACUAUAUCUCACCAAUAAUAUCUAUUUUUUUUUUUUACAUUUUGUUUUGACUAUGUCUAUACUACAUAGUAAUAGUACACUUUUUUUGUCAAUUAAAAACUAAGAAACAUACAAGUAUAAUUUUUUUUUAAGUGUAAAUAGUUAUUUAUAUAUAUUUAUUUAAAUUCGUCUAGUAUGCCUAGACCUCGCAUAGGCGUUUAGGCAUUAGACCCCAGCCCGCUGCCCAACUAGCAUCUCACGUCUUUUAGAACAUUGAUUUGUCACACCGAUGGAUUUAGAGUUUUGUGCAUUCUCGAAGAAAAAGGAGAGAUACAAGAUACAUGCCUUAUUUUAAGGAUUGUAUUGGUGCUAGAUGAAGUACCUGUUGAUGCUUCAAUACGACCUCCGGCUUAAGUUCCAUAAAUUGGUAGGAAAAGAAGGCCGACUCAAAAGGUUAUGGCUGCAUGUAGUUUUGAUAUGCAAUUCACACUUGCUUGUGCCGGAUGGGAAAACACUGCACAUGAUACAAGAGUUUUUCUAUCCGUGCUACGGAAUCCAAAUUUAAAUUUCCCUAAGCCUCCAAAUGAUAAUCUUCAUACUUGUUAUUUUGCUGGAAUCUUCAUAUUUAUUAUAACAUUUUACGUACUCACUUUGUAUAAUUAUUACAUUAGAAAACAAAAUUUUUCAA